AGGGAAUCUUCCGCAAUGGACGAAAGUCUGACGGAGCAACGCCGCGUGAGUGAUGAAGGUUUUCGGAUCGUAAAGCUCUGUUGCCAGGGAAGAACGUCCGUUAGAGUAACUGCUAACGGAGUGACGGUACCUGAGAAGAAAGCCCCGGCUAACUACGUGCCAGCAGCCGCGGUAAUACGUAGGGGGCGAGCGUUGUCCGGAAUUAUUGGGCGUAAAGCGCGCGCAGGCGGCUGUUUAAGUCUGGUGUUUAAUCCUGGGGCUCAACUCCGGGUCGCACUGGAAACUGGAUGGCUUGAGUGCAGAAGAGGAGAGUGGAAUUCCACGUGUAGCGGUGAAAUGCGUAGAGAUGUGGAGGAACACCAGUGGCGAAGGCGGCCUACUGGGCUUUAACUGACGCUGAAGCACGAAAGCAUGGGUAGCAAAC
rnacentral:rRNA from 1 species